GAUGAACGCUAGCUACAGGCUUAACACAUGCAAGUCGCGGGGCAGCAUGGGGGUUGCUUGCAAUCCCCGAUGGCGACCGGCGCACGGGUGAGUAACGCGUAUCCAACCUGCCCUUCACCACGGGAUAACCCGGCGAAAGUCGGACUAAUACCGUAUGUUGUCCAUUGACGGCAUCCGAUUUGGACGAAAGGCUUGGCGGUGAGGGGUGGGGAUGCGUCCGAUUAGCCAGACGGCGGGGUAACGGCCCACCGUGGCUACGAUCGGGAGGGGUUCUGAGAGGAAGGUCCCCCACACUGGAACUGAGACACGGUCCAGACUCCUACGGGAGGCAGCAGUGAGGAAUAUUGGUCAAUGGGCGUAAGCCUGAACCAGCCAAGUAGCGUGCAGGAUGACGGCCCUAUGGGUUGUAAACUGCUUUUAUGCGGGGAUAAAGUGGCCCACGUGUGGGCUUUUGCAGGUACCGCACGAAUAAGGACCGGCUAAUUCCGUG
rnacentral:rRNA from 1 species